rnacentral:rRNA from 1 species
AGAGUUUGAUCAUGGCUCAGGACGAACGCUGGCGGCACGCUUAACACAUGCAAGUCGAACGAGAGAAGGGGAGCUUGCCUUUCUGAUCUAGUGGCGGACGGGUGAGUAACACGUGAGCAAUCUGCCUUUCAGAGGGGGAUACCGAUUGGAAACGAUCGUUAAUACCGCAUAACAUAAUUGAACCGCAUGAUUUGAUUAUCAAAGAUUUAUCGCUGAAAGAUGAGCUCGCGUCUGAUUAGCUAGUUGGUAAGGUAACGGCUUACCAAGGCGACGAUCAGUAGCCGGACUGAGAGGUUGAUCGGCCACAUUGGGACUGAGACACGGCCCAGACUCCUACGGGAGGCAGCAGUGGGGAAUAUUGCACAAUGGAGGAAACUCUGAUGCAGCGAUGCCGCGUGAGGGAAGAAGGUUUUAGGAUUGUAAACCUCUGUCUUCAGGGACGAAAAAAGACGGUACCUGAGGAGGAAGCUCCGGCUAACUACGUGCAGCAGCCGCGGUAAUACGUAGGGAGCGAGCGUUGUCCGGAAUUACUGGGUGUAAAGGGAGCGUAGGCGGGAUCGCAAGUCAGAUGUGAAAACUAUGGGCUUAACCCAUAAACUGCAUUUGAAACUGUGGUUCUUGAGUGAAGUAGAGGUAAGCGGAAUUCCUAGUGUAGCGGUGAAAUGCGUAGAUAUUAGGAGGAACAUCAGUGGCGAAGGCGGCUUACUGGGCUUUAACUGACGCUGAGGCUCGAAAGCGUGGGGAGCAAACAGGAUUAGAUACCCUGGUAGUCCACGCCGUAAACGAUGAUUACUAGGUGUGGGGGGACUGACCCCUUCCGUGCCGCAGCAAACGCAAUAAGUAAUCCACCUGGGGAGUACGACCGCAAGGUUGAAACUCAAAGGAAUUGACGGGGGCCCGCACAAGCAGUGGAGUAUGUGGAUUAAUUCGAAGCAACGCGAAGAACCUUACCAGGUCUUGACAUCGUAUGCAUAGCUCAGAGAUGAGUGAAAUCUCUUCGGAGACAUAUAGACAGGUGGUGCAUGGUUGUCGUCAGCUCGUGUCGUGAGAUGUUGGGUUAAGUCCCGCAACGAGCGCAACCCUUACUGUUAGUUGCUACGCAAGAGCACUCUAGCAGGACUGCCGUUGACAAAACGGAGGAAGGCGGGGAUGACGUCAAAUCAUCAUGCCCCUUAUGACCUGGGCCUCACACGUACUACAAUGGCUGUCAACAGAGGGAAGCAAAGCCGCGGGGUGGAGCGAACCCCUAAAAGCAGUCUUAGUUCGGAUUGUAGGCUGCAACCCGCCUACAUGAAGUCGGAAUUGCUAGUAAUCGCAGACCAGCAUGCUGUGGUGAAUACGUUCCCGGGCCUUGUACACACCGCCCGUCACGCCAUGGGAGUCGGUAACACCCGAAGCCUGUAGCCUAACCGCAAGGAGGACGCAGUCGAAGGUGGGAUUGAUGACUGGGGUGAAGUCGUAACAAGGUA